AUGGACGCCGUCGACUCCGUGGUGGACCCCCUCCGCGAGUUCGCCAAGGACAGCGUCCGCCUCGUCAAGCGCUGCCACAAGCCCGACCGCAAGGAGUUCACCAAGGUGGCGGCGCGGACGGUGAUCGGGUUCGUCGUCAUGGGGUUCAUCGGCUUCUUCGUCAAGCUCAUCUUCAUCCCCAUCAACAACAUCAUCGUCGGCUCCGGCUAG
rnacentral:rRNA from 1 species